rnacentral:siRNA from 1 species
GCGGGUCAGAAUCUAGUAGCCUA